ACCUGGCUGGCUCAAUCAGUAGAGCACAUAACUCUUGAUCUUGGGGCUAUGGGUUCAAGGCCCAUGUUGAGUG
rnacentral:tRNA from 1 species